UUUAGAAAAAGUCAAUGGGGUGAGUAAUUUUCGUAAAUAUUUGUGAAAUUGUCAAUUCCGUUGAAUUAGUCAAUCCAAUACGUGAGGCGGAGUAGGUGAAUUCCUAAAACUGGAAUUUUGUAUUCCUAUACUAAUGCUAUUAGUACUUGAAAGUACAAUUAGAGUGAAAAUUAUCACAUCUAACAAUUGGUCCAGUUUCUUCCAAAGAUAUUUCCUUGACUCGACAAACAAGUUCAAAACUUGGAAAGCUACAUUAGAUCGAGAUAUGGAUUUCACUCGAGUGGUUUAAGAUGAAAAUACACCAACAGCACCGUAAGCAAAAGUUAAAGUUCAAGUUAGUUACUACCGCGUGAAUGAUCCCUGAAAUUUUUGGAUGAUGCUGCGCCUGGAUGUAUUUGGAGAAGAAAAUUUACUCCAAAUUUCGCAUGUGUGGGGUGUUUCUUUGCAUAGGAUUUAACAAUUCCGUUUCAAUCAAAUCUGAUUUCCGACAGAACGGGUAUAUUGGAGCAAUGGGUUGAGUACUUUGAUGAACUACUGAGCAACUAGAACAUCGCCGAGUUGGAGUUCCCGCUAACUGAAGACGACGGACAAAUACUGCCACCACCAAUUUAAAUAUGGAGGCGACCGGUUGAUAAAUUUCGUUUAUUCGGUCAUUUUUUCUUAUACUAUAAUUUGUUUUUAUUAUACUAUUACCUUAGUUUAAGUGUCUAUUUUAGUUAAUUAUAUUGGAAUAAGACACUCUCGCAUUGAUUUUAUCUAGUAAACAUCAACAUUGUCCUGAUAAUCCUCAUUAUUGGUGGAACCUUCAAAAGACACCACUGUUCGUGGGUUUUACCCUCUAAAACCAUUCCUUAGAUUCUGCGACUUUACCGUGGAACUAGAGCAAAGUACUACAUGACGGGGCGAACUUAGCGCUAAUUUCGUCUCCACUUACCCGUUGAUUGGUUUCGCAACGAAAUUUAUAGUCAAAUAAAAUUGCCUUAUUUUCAAUAAGCAGAGUGUGCAUAAAUUUGUAUAGAUGGAUUUUUCCAGACCGCAACAAUCUUGUUGAAUUUUCCAUCAAUCACUUCUGGGUGCUUUCGUGUUAUAUACUACUAGCUGAACGCCGGAAGAUAACACAAUACAUCAUUGCUCAGACAAUGCCCUGCUCACAACCAGCCAUCGAUGAGUCAUAUAAUGCAACUCCAAGCACUGGCAACCGAAACGAAAUAAUUAUUGGAAAA